AUACGUAGGGGGCGAGCGUUGUCCGGAAUGAUUGGGCGUAAAGGGCGCGUAGGCGGCCCGGUAAGUCUGGAGUGAAAGUCCUGUUUUUAAGAUGGGAAUUGCUUUGGAUACUGUCGGGCUUGAGUGCAGGAGAGGUAAGUGGAAUUCCCAGUGUAGCGGUGAAAUGCGUAGAGAUUGGGAGGAACACCAGUGGCGAAGGCGACUUACAGGACUGUAACUGACGCUGAGGCGCGAAAGUGUGGGGAGCAAACAGGAUUAGAUACCCUGGUAGUCCACACUGUAAACGAUGAAUGCUAGGUGUAGGGGGUAUCGACCCCUUCUGUGCCGCAGUCAACACAAUAAGCAUUCCGCCUGGGGAGUACGGCCGCAAGGUUGAAACUCAAAGGAAGUGACGGGG
rnacentral:rRNA from 1 species